rnacentral:rRNA from 1 species
UACGUAGGGGGCAAGCGUUGUCCGGAAUCAUUGGGCGUAAAGCGCGCGUAGGCGGCCCGGUAAGUCCGUUGUGAAAGUCAAAGGCUCAACCUUUGAACGCCGAUGGAUACUGCCGGGCUAGAGUCCGGAAGAGGCGAGUGGAAUUCCUGGUGUAGCGGUGGAAUGCGCAGAUAUCAGGAGGAACACCGAUGGCGAAGGCAGGUCACUGGGCCGCAACUGACGCUGAGGAGCGAAAGCAUGGGGAGCGAACAGG